GGGGGCGUGGCGAAACCUGGCAGCCGCCGAGGACUUAAAAUCCUCUGUCCGCAAGGACGUGCAGGUUCGAAUCCUGCCGCCCCUACCA
rnacentral:tRNA from 1 species